rnacentral:tRNA from 2 species
GGCCCGUUGGUCAAGUGGUUAAGACACCGCCCUUUCACGGCGGUAACAUGGGUUCAAAUCCCGUACGGACCU